rnacentral:rRNA from 1 species
AUUGAACGCUGGCGGCAGGCCUAACACAUGCAAGUCGGACGGUAGCACAGAGGAGCUUGCUCCUCGGGUGACGAGUGGCGGACGGGUGAGUAAUGUCUGGGGAUCUGCCCGAUAGAGAGGGAUAACCACUGGAAACGGUGGCUAAUACCGCAUAACGUCGCAAGACCAAAGAGGGGGACCUUCGGGCCUCUCACUACCGGAUGAACCCAGAUGGGAUUAGCUAGUAGGCGGGGUAACGGCCCACCUAGGCGACGAUCCCUAGCUGGUCUGAGAGGAUGACCAGCCACACUGGAACUGAGACACGGUCCAGACUCCUACGGGAGGCAGCAGUGGGGAAUAUUGCACAAUGGGCGCAAGCCUGAUGCAGCCAUGCCGCGUGUAUGAAGAAGGCCUUCGGGUUGUAAAGUACUCUCAGCGGGGAGGAAGGCGAUGUGGUUAAUAACCGCAUUGAUUGACGUUACCCGCAGAAGAAGCACCGGCUAACUCCGUGCCAGCAGCCGCCGUAA